rnacentral:rRNA from 1 species
GACGAACGCUGGCGGCGUGCUUAACACAUGCAAGUCGAACGGAAAGGCCCUGCUUUUGUGGGGUGCUCGAGUGGCGAACGGGUGAGUAACACGUGAGUAACCUGCCCUUGACUUUGGGAUAACUUCAGGAAACUGGGGCUAAUACCGGAUAGGAGCUCCUGCUGCAUGGUGGGGGUUGGAUAGUUUCGGCGGUUGGGGAUGGACUCGCGGCUUAUCAGCUUGUUGGUGGGGUAGUGGCUUACCAAGGCUUUGACGGGUAGCCGGCCUGAGAGGGUGACCGGCCAAAUUGGGACUGAGAUACGGCCCAGACUACUACGGGAGGCAGCAGUGGGGAAUAGUGCACAAUGGGAGGAAGCCUGAUGCAGCAACGCCGCGUGCGGGAUGACGGCCUUCGGGUUGUAAACCGCUUUCGCCUGUGACGAAGCGUGAGUGACGGUAAUGGGUAAAGAAGCACCGGCUAACUACGUG